AUCUGUUCAUUUCUUUCUUUCUUUUUUUUUUUUUUUUUAAAUAUUUGAUUUCAUUUUCUGUUUUUCUGUUUUCAUUAUUUUUUAUGAAGUUCUGCAGUGCUUUAUUUAUCUAUUUAUUUUUCUUGUGGUAAGCAGCCAUGAUAUGACUGAUGCCUCUGACAAAUUCCAGUCACAAAGUCAGCCACUCAAAAGUGAUAAUGAGGGCAAGACUUUCACAGCUUUAAUUUCCUCUAUGUAUUUUGUCCUGUAUAAACUUACCCAAAGGGUAAAGCCUUCAGACAUCCUGAUCAUGAAACUGCCUGUGCACGUAUUUAAUUUUAUUAUCCAGUGGCACAAGCUGAAGACAUCUAUUUCUAACUUUUGAACAUAAUUUAUAAAUUCAGAAAAUGAAAUAAAAGUGAAAGUUUCAAAGGUUGUACAAGUUUUCUCUCUACAUCUCGUGAUGCAAAAGGUUUUUUACAGCCCUACCUCUAAUGGUUUAGGAGCAAGAGCCUCCUCAGCUGAGACAGGAGCCUGAAUCGAUCAAACGUAGCAGGAGGUGAUUGUAUUCGUGAAGGGUCCCUCUCUGUUCUGUGACUGUCCUGUUUUCAUAUGCUUGUUUUCACUCUGAUGGAGAUGGACUCUUCAUUUGCAUGCUGGUAAUUGAUCGCAUAUUUAACUCUUCUGCGUGCUCUGCUGGGAGUUGUUGGGUUACUCAAAUGUAGGUCAAAUAAGAGAGGACUUGGGGAAAAAAGCGAGGGAGAGAAAAUUGAGAGAGGAAAGGUCAUGUGCAGCGUGGUGCACACAGAUGGCUUAUUAUCGCUAGGACCAUGUGGCAGAAUCCAAACUCAUCCGACAGUCUGUUUUCGUGAUGCAAAACUCCUUCAGGGACUGCUGAACCUCCGAAAGCACCCGCGUGAAUUCUGCAGGAUGUUCUCACUUAGCUGACCUUGCAGAAGCCUUGGAAUAGUUGCAAUUUCAAAUCUGCUUUUGCAAGCUAAGAGGUUUGGUGCGAGGCUGUGAUGGGAUGGAGAUCCGUUUUAAUGUUCACCAGGUCUCUAAACCCAGACCCCACAGGUUUUGAAGGAGUAGAUGGACAUUAUGUAGGUCCCACCUUGCAGGGGUAAAGUAAGAGAAGCACCUUCCUGUGGAUCACCCCUUACUUUUCUCCUGCUCAGAGACCAUGCAGAAAGCAAGAUUGAAGCGACUGAAAGAUUUAUGUUGGAACUGGAUCCCCAUGGAUCAGAACACGAAUAACACCUCCGUCCCCUCCCAAAUCUACCAGACCUGACCUUUCACAAUCACCGUUUCCUGACCACUGACUCCAAAGAAAAUAGAGCUGCUGCUUGGUAUUUAAUGGAAAUCUGCUCAAAACUUGUCAAAAUACACCACCGUGCAUGUCAGAUGCCUGGGACAAGACCUCUACAGUAGUUUCCAGAAACCCAGCGCAAUUACUUACAUUUUAAAUUAUCUUUAAUUGUCGCAUGUGAGUUACAGAAACAUUUUUCCCCACUCUGAAGCAAGACCUCGCUAUUAAGAGUCACCCCAUAAUUGCAGCUUUAAUAGGGGAGCCGCAGCAGGUCAGCCGCGAAGGUUAGCGCGGGGCGCAGCGAGGCGAAAGCGGCUGCUGCACACCCGUAAGUGGAAGUGACACGCCACAAUAGCCCCAUCAAUUAUGUAGGGGCAGUUUGGAGUGUAAACUUUUUAGCGAAUCUAAUUACCCCACCAGAUGUUUUAAUCCAAUCUCCCCGCCCCUCCCCUGCCAUCAAAUGCGCCGUGGGUUUUUUUGAGCUCCUGGUAUGGAAAAGUCACCUGGGCCACACGAUCUAGAAGAAACUUGACGAGUUUUUUUUUUUUUGCAGGACCUGAGCAUCCUUUUGCUCUCCGAGAGAUUAUUCAGGGUUGUGGGUGGGUGCACACACAUUCAGGAUGCACGGGAUCGAAGUGAAUCAGAAUGAACGCUCUCCUGCAUUGAUAAGGUUGGCACAGAGGGUGCAAGACUGAUGAAAAAUAGAUGAGCUGGUGUAAAAUGUGCUCAGGAGCUGAAUGACAACUGUUAGCCUGGCGAUGCCAAAUGGAAGCAGGCCCUGUCAAUAGCAUUAGAGACGCUGCACCAGAUUUUCCAAGGCUGUUUGCAAAUUGACCCAAUGUUCCUGCUGACACGAAACCUUGAAAGCGCGGCUAAAAGCAGCAUUGCUGAACACGCCUGAUUUGCUCACAGAUUGUGGUCAGAUGUGAGCAGGAAAGAAACUACUUGCCUGUGCGUCUAGGAGAGGGGAAAAUAGUGAAUUAACUGUGCACAGAAAUGCGUGAUGUUACCUUCUCAGCCGUGCAGAGCAGGGAAGGAACCUACCGGCAUGGCGAGGCGUUUCCUCCUCCUUCGGUGAAGUUUGGUUUUGGCUUGGUGGGAAAUUGGGGUGUGUGCAUGCAACGUGUUGACCAGUCCUCAGCCUCGCCUGUGGUGUUUGGAAAAAUCUCUGUCUUUGGCAACUUAAAACCCUAUAAUGAGAAAAAAAAAUAAAACAAAACAACAGUAAUAAAAAAACCCACAACCACAAAUCAGAGGAGUCUCAAUCUGUUCUUUGUCAGAGCUCCAGCUGAAUAAUUUGCUGGUCGUUAUUUUCGCCAGCUUAUCGCAUUAAUAGAUGCUUUUCUUCCCUUCUAGCCCAGUUCCCCAGUCGGAGAGCAGUCAGACUUGUACCAAGCACAGCUUCAGGCGCAACUCUUGGGAUGGAAACAUGCAGAGCAAACAAUGAAACAAGACUGUUUAUAAAGCCUUCAACACAUUAGGCAGUGGAGAAGAGCCCAAGUUUCCACGUAAAGGCCUGAAUGGACAAGAAUGACGUGGAGCACAUGGAAAAUAUGGAAAAUGUGGAAUAACUCCAGAAAGGAAUGCUCAAAAAAUGACUAAAACAAAAGUAAAAAAGUGCUCGUCUGCUUUAACCACAGCUGAUGCCUUAUCAUCUGAUUCACAACAGCUAGCUUUACAAAAGAAACUUAUCAAAUGCAUUAAAUAUCCCUUGUAUUUGUGAGUGUUCAAAGGUCUGAUGGAGUCCAGGAGCCAACGUGGUUAAGGGCACCUGUAGUGAAAGCCAACAGCGACUGGGGCAGGAUCCCAAUGCCUCUGACCCUCAUUGCAAUGAAUUUGGUACCAAUUUAGCUGUAGCCCGUUGGACACGGCUUUGGUAAAACUCGAGAAAAAGGCUCAGAUUCAUGCUUUCCAGCCUGAAGAACUGAUAUCCAAACAGACCAUCCAAGGGGAAGCAGAAGCCCAGAGGAGUGAAGCAACUUGCCCAGAGUCAUUAUAAGAACCAAAGCUUGCACAGAAAGCAGGCGGGGGCCCUGCUGCAGACACCGUGCCACAGCCCGAGAUGAUUAAGUGCCGAGCUACACGAGACUGUCCCUUUGCUGUAUGUCAACAGCCUGGAAAAUUCCCUUUGAUACUGCUGUGACAGUUUGGUUUGCUGUGCUGGCAAUAAAAGGAAAAAAAAAAAAAAAAAAAA